GCUUUAAUUUUGCAGGCAUUUGAUAAAAUUGAAAUGAUAUAGAGUAGAUUAGUAUGCCCCAGCACAAGGAUGACAUACACAAAUUGUGAAAUAAUUCAAAAUUUA